AUUUGACACAGCUCUACGGUCGCCGGUCUGGCGCCUUCAUUUGGUCGUGGAGCAAUGAC
rfam:Carboxydocella sporoproducens DSM 16521 genome assembly, contig: BR84DRAFT_scaffold00006.6